rnacentral:ncRNA from 1 species
GUGAAAGUUUGAUUCUAGCUAACCUGAUUACUUUCUCUACGAGUCAUAUGCAAGGCGUCAAUCUAGCUCGACAGUGCAGUGAUUGGUAUUAUUACCUAAUUCCUAGGGAUAGCGAGUGAGAAGGUAAGGGGACCACCUUGUGCCAGCAUCCGCGGUCAUACAAGGCCUUGAAGUAAUCAUUCUAGGUGAGGAAGAACACUUUGAAACAAAAAUAGCUUAGGCCGAUAAGGGUGAAAUCUGCAUUCGUGGGGUAUUUCUUGGUUAAAGUUCCUUUUUUAUGGUCAAGCAACUAGGAUUAGAUACCCUACUAGCCCAUCAUUGACUAACCUGGGUAGUAGUAUUGAAACCUAAAGAAUUUGGCGGUUCCUAAACUAACUAGAGGAACCUGCCUCAUAAACGACAACCCACGAAAAAAGCUACCCGGGUUCGUUAAACAGCUUAUAUACCGUCGUCCGAGGGGACUAAAUAAAUAGGUCCCCAGAAUGGCGUAGGCCAAAAAAUCAGAUCAAGGUGUAGCUCAUGCCCGGGGGAAGGUGGGUUACAAUAAGAGCUUAGACGGAACCCUUAAGUUAUGGAAGGGGGAAGGUGGAUUUAGAAGUAAGACUUAACGAACUGAAGGAGGCUCUGAGGAAUGUACACAUCGCCCGUCGCUCUCUUGUCUGAAGAGAUAAGUCGUAACAAAGUAGGUAAACCGGAAGGUUUAUCUUGAAAG